AAACCAACAGGGAUUGCCCCAGUAACGGCGAGUGAAGCGGCAAAAGCUCAAAUUUGAAAUCCCCAGGGAAUUGUAAUUUGAAGGUUGGGGAAAAAGUAUCGUGCUAGUCAAAGUCUAUUGGAAAAUGGCGCCACAGAGGGUGAUAGCCCCGUAUGACUUCAACACCCUACAUAUCUUCCCCCUCCAAAGAGUCGAGUUGUUUGGGAAUGCAGCUCUAAGUGGGUGGUAAAUUCCAUCUAAAGCUAAAUAUUGGCGAGAGACCGAUAGCGAACAAGUACAGUGAUGGAAAGAUGAAAAGCACUUUGAAAAGAGAGUGAAAAAGUACGUGAAAUUGUUGAAAGGGAAGGGCUUGCAAGCAGACACAACUUUUUUGUUGGGCCAGCAUCGGGGGAGUAGGAGGCAAAAAAGAGUAGAAAUGUAGCUUCGGUGUUAUAGUCUCCUCUCAUACCUCCCCACCCUCCCGAGGCCUGCGUAUCUAGGAUGCUGGCGUAAUGGUUGCAAGUCGC
rnacentral:rRNA from 2 species